rnacentral:rRNA from 1 species
UUUAAUGGCCGCAGUAAUUUGACUGUGCAAAGGUAGCAUAAUCAAUAGUUUUUUAAUUAAAAGCUUGUAUGAAUGGUUGGACGAGAUAAAAACUGUCUUUUAAUAAUUAAAUUAGAAUUUAAUUUUUUGGUUAAAAAGCUAAAAUAAAUGUAAAAGACGAGAAGACCCUAUAGAGUUUUAUAUUUAAGUUAAAAUAUUUAUUAUAGAUUUUUAAAUUAUUUUUUAAUUUUAAAUAUUUUAUUGGGGUAAUAUAAAGAUUUAAUUAAUUCUUUUUAAUUUAAAUUAUUUAUUUAUAUAUUUUUGAUCUUAUAUUAUUGAUUUAAAGAUUAAGUUACCUUAGGGAUAACAGCGUAAUUUUUUUUGAGAGUUCAUAUUGAUAAAAAAGUUUGCGACCUCGAUGUUGGAUUAAAGAUUAAUUUAGGUGCAAAAGUUUAAAUUUUUGGUCUGUUCGACCAUUGAAUCUUUACAUGAUCUGAGUUCAGACCGGUUUAAGCCAGGUCGGUUUCUAUCUUUAUAUAAUUAUUAUGUUUUAGUACGAAAGGACCAAAUAUAAAUUAUAAUUAAUUUAUAUAUUGAAUUAUAAU